GCUUCAAACCUGCUGAAGUUGCGCCACCUGCCGUGGCUUCGACUCCGGCGU
rnacentral:tRNA from 14 species